AUUGAACGCUGGCGGCAUGCUUUACACAUGCAAGUCGAGCGGCAGCGCGGGGGCAACCCUGGCGGCGAGCGGCGAACGGGUGAGGAAUACAUCGGAACGUACCCCGGAGUGGGGGAUAACGCCGCGAAAGCGGCGCUAAUACCGCAUAUGCUCUGAGGAGGAAAGUGGGGGACCUGCAAGGGCCUCACGCUCUGGGAGCGGCCGAUGUCCGAUUAGCUAGUUGGUGGGGUAAAGGCCCACCAAGGCGACGAUCGGUAGCUGGUCUGAGAGGAUGAUCAGCCACACUGGGACUGAGACACGGCCCAGACUCCUACGGGAGGCAGCAGUGGGGAAUUUUGGACAAUGGGGGCAACCCUGAUCCAGCCAUGCCGCGUGCGGGAAGAAGGCCU
rnacentral:rRNA from 1 species